GGGUAGCUAAGUGCGGAAGAGAUAAGUGCUGAAAGCAUCUAAGCACGAAACUUGCCAAGAGAUGAGUUCUCCCAAUCUAAGAGAUAGUAAGGGUUGUUGUAGACUACGACGUAGAUAGGUCUGGUGUAUAAGUGUAGUGAUACAUUGAGCUAACAGAUACUAAUUGCCCGAGAGGCUUAACUAUACAACGC
rnacentral:rRNA from 1 species